UGCAGCCCUGUCAAAUUCGGUCCCUACCCUUCUCCGUGGCAGGGACCGGCCAACCGGCUGCCACAGCGAAUUCUGCGGUCCACAUGCCCCACGUCCCCUCCCCGUGGGGCACCAGGGGGUCAGAUCACACCACAGACACAU
rfam:Patagioenas fasciata monilis isolate BTP2013 Sc31e1R_515, whole genome shotgun sequence.